UAUGUAGCAUGACACAUAAUUAUAUAAUCUGCAAUAACAUCAUAACAAUUGCUAAUAUUAUACAUAUCUAUAAAUUAUUAGGGUUUUCCAAAGAAACGGAACCAAUUACAGGUAAACAUGUCUAUGGAGGCUGAAAAGUCCUGUGGACCAUCACAGACACACAGACACAAAAUCACACAGCCUCGAGUACAUAGGGGUGCUGGUUGCUCACAGGAAAACAUCGGGGUAGCGUUCUGAGAGCAGGUUACGUUGCAUACCACAGUGGGUUUCCCCAUCAUAAGGCUCCAGAUUCUGGGUAGACAAAUCCAGAAAGCUUGGGUGAGAGCCAGGAAUUCAUCAGCUAAAUCAAAACCAAGGGGAAGAUCACGAUUCCGUUCCUACAAGGGUUGCGAAAGUUUGCAGAUUUGGGGACGGGAGAACCAGUAUUCCGACUCUGGUGGGUGCUCACACCUUGGCAGCUGCUACAACGCACAAAGCACAUCCCUACCCAGUGGCUUGUGGAGGCCCAGCAAUGAGUAUUUUUGGCCGAUCACUAUUUUCGUUUUCAGGACCCUGGGGUUAAACUCCAAAUGUCUAUUGACUGUGGAAGCUCAUGCCACUCUUCAACUCGGAAGCCUGGUUUCAGAGCCCCGAUGUCUCGUAAACAUCCUGCGCCCACAAAUCCGUAUCAGCAUCUGCUUCUGGAGAAGCCCACCUGCGGGAGUUGGUACCUGGAGAGGUUUGAGAUACAGAGACCACAAGGUGGCUAGAAGGUGCCAUGUCCUGGGGGUUCCCACUUUCUCCGGGAGAAUGGCCUCACCACUGGGAGAUUCCUACCAAAUUCCACAAAUGACACAUUUUGUCUCAUUAAAAGCCUGCAAGGAGAUACAUGAUGUUGGGAACCAGUGUUAGAGGAGGACGUCCU
rnacentral:lncRNA from 12 species